rnacentral:rRNA from 1 species
GUGUCAGCAGCCGCGGUAAGACGAACCGUGCGAACGUUGUUCGGAUUCACUGGGCUUAAAGGGCGCGUAGGCGGCUCAGCCAGUCGGGGGUGAAAUCGUUCCGCUCAACGGGACAAGUGCCUUCGAUACUGCUGGGCUGGAGGGAGAUAGGGGCAUGCGGAACUUCCGGUGGAGCGGUGAAAUGCGUAGAUAUCGGAAGGAACGCCGGUGGCGAAAGCGGCGUGCUGGAUCUCCACUGACGCUGAGGCGCGAAAGCCAGGGGAGCAAACGGGAUUAGAUACCCCCGUAGUCC